GGGAGGAAAAGAAACUAACAAGGAUUUUCUUAGUAGCGGCGAGCGAAAAGAAAAUAGUUCAGCACUAAGUCACUUUGUCUUAAUGGCAAAUGUGAGAUGCAGUGUAUGGAAUGUCAAAUUUCUAGUAUGAGAAAUUAACGAUUUAAGUCCUUCUUAAAUGAGGCCAUUUACCCAAAGAGGGUGCCAGGCCCGUAUAACGUUAAUGAUUACUAGAUGGCAUUUCCAAAGAGUCGUGUUGCUUGAUAGUGCAGCACUAAGUGGGUGGUAAACUCCAUCUAAAACUAAAUAUAACCAUGAGACCGAUAGUAAACAAGUACCGUGAGGGAAAGUUGAAAAGAACUCUGAAUAGAGAGUUAAAUAGUACGUGAAACUGCUUAGAGGUUAAGCCCGAUGAACCUGAAUAUCCAUUAUAGAAAAUUCAUCAUUAUGAUUUUAAUAUUUAUAAUAUUAUAAUAAUGGUGUGCAUUUUUUCUAUAAAAGGACAUUGUAAUCUAUUAACAUCAAAUAUUUAUCAAAAGAUCAAUUGCAAAUGUUUAUUCAAAUUAUUUUGCUUGCAAUUUAACAUAGAAUAAAUGCUUUUGAUUUGAUAAAGUGUUGAUAGAUUUAUUAUAUAUAGUGCUUAAAUAUUUAUAUUUUAUAAUAGCAUAUUAAUCAUUGAUUUUUAUGUUUAUUAUAUGCACUUAUAUGAUUAACAAUGCGAAAGAUUCAGGAUACCUUCGGGACCCGUCUUGAAACACGGACCAAGGAGUCUAACAUAUUUGCAAGUUAUUGGGAAUAAAAACCUAAUAGCGAAAUUAACAUAACUUAUAUAAUGGGAUUAAUUUUUAGCCUAUUUAUAGUCUAUUAAUUCAAUCCCGGGGCGUUCUAUAUAGUUAUGUAUAAUAAUAUUUAUAUUAUUUAUACCUCUAACUAGAGCGUACCUUGAGCAUAUAUGCUGUGACCCGAAAGAUGGUGAACUAUACUUGAUCAGGUUGAAGUCAGGGGAAACCCUGAUGGAAGACCGAAACAG
rnacentral:rRNA from 1 species